CUCGUAGCUGCUUGGCAGAGAGAAAACAAACUGCCCCAGCUGCUUAGAAUUAGGAUCUGAGUCAUCAAGAAGAGGUGAAUUCUUUUCCUGAGCCUCCGCUGUUUGAGAAGAUUAUGGCCAAAUCCCAGCUGCCAUCACAAAAAUCUUCUUCGAUGUCAAAAUUCCUGGUAUUUUACAUCAGUGCUUCUUCAGAAAGCUCAUCCCUUUCUGGCCCCCUUGUAAGGAUCUUGGACUCUGGGGAUCUUGGUCUAUUUGAUGAGUACAGUGGUCAAGGAGAGCCAGAUCAGACAGAAGCACCUGCCUGCUACCCACGGGGACAUGAAGUUGUUAACAGCAGCCUGGACUCUGCUGGCUCUAGGACAAAGCAGAACACUCACUUUUGGAACCUGGCCACCAUGUUGGAAGGAAUCCCAGAGCACAUGAGGAGGCCUUUUGGGGGUGUUCCAGCUGACAGCCUUAGCUAAGGUCUUAGCUAAUAGUCAGCAUCAACUGCUGGCAAGUGAACAAGGCUUCAGAUGAUUCCAGCCCUCAGCUUUCCAGCUGAAAACAUUGUAAAGCAAAUACAGCCAUUUCCACUUUGCCCUGUCUGAAUUCCUGACCCACAGAAGCCAUGAGAGAUAACAAAUGAUUACUAGUGCUUUAAGCCACCGGGUUUGGGAAUCAUUUCUUAUGUAUCAAUAGAUUACAGCAAAUGUCAAAAAACUAUAGAUAAAGUUAGGAUGAUAAUUCAGCACAGUUGCUAGAUACAAAAGUCAAUAUUGAAAUCAAUUCUAUUUCUAUAUACUGGCAACAUACAGAAGUCAAAUUUAAAAUUUACAAUAGUAUAAAAAUAUAAUUAUCUAAGAACAAAUAUAACAAAAUCAUAUGAGUCCUUCAAAGAGAUAAUCACAGAACUCAAUUAAAAUAUACUGAAAAAGACCCCAAAAAGGAGAUAUGCAAGAUAUAUAUUACACUCAUGGAUUCACAGAAUUAAUAUUGUGUAGAUACCAAUUACCUCAAAAUUGAUGUACUAUAUUGUACCAACCAAAUCACAAUCACUUAGUAAUGUGUUGAGCUGAUUUUAGAGUUCAUAAGAGAAUUGAGAAGUCUAAGAAUAGCCAUGGCCUUCUGGAAGAACAAGGCACAGGAGACAUCAUUUAUGAGAAACAGGCCCUCACCAGA
rnacentral:lncRNA from 10 species